rnacentral:rRNA from 1 species
ACUCCUACGGGAGGCAGCAGUGGGGAAUAUUGCACAAUGGGCGCAAGCCUGAUGCAGCAACGCCGCGUGAGCGAAGAAGGUCUUCGGAUCGUAAAGCUCUUUUCUUAGGGAAGAAAACUGACGGUACCUAAGGAAUAAGCACCGGCUAAAUACGUGCCAGCAGCCGCGGUAAUACGGAGGGUGCGAGCGUUAAUCGGAAUUACUGGGCGUAAAGCGCAUGCAGGCGGCCUGUUAAGUCAGAUGUGAAAGCCCGGGGGCUUAACCUCGGAAUUGCAUUUGAAACUGGCAGGCUAGAGUCUUGUAGAGGGGGGUUAGAAUUUCAGGUGUAGCGGUGAAAUGCGUAGAGAUCUGAAGGAAUACCAGUGGCGAAGGCGGCCCCCUGGACAAAGACUGACGCUCAGAUGCGAAAGCGUGGGGAGCAAACAGGAUUAGAUACCCUGG